CGUAGUGCAUCCUGGGAGUUGUAGUCCGGUGGCACGGCCCACGAGGCCCACGAACGUUCGCCCAGGGCGGUUAACGCCCGCGCUUGAGACCUGAUUUCUGGCCUGGCGGCUUUGAAGAGGUGAGAGUGCGUGCGUCAGCCUACCUGGGACGACUGUCAGCAGCUUUUGCAGGUCCUAUUCACCAUCGAGGAGAGGGAGAGGUUCCUCAAUGAGGCCCGAAAGCUAGUCCCGGGCACGGACGGGAAUCCUACCACCAACCAGGCUCAGACAGAUACCUUUUUUCCUCUAACUAGGCUUGAAUGGGGUUUCAACACGGCAGAAGGUAAGGAGAGGCUCUGGGUCUACCGCCAGACUCUAAUGGGGGGUCUUCGGAUGGCUGCUAGGAAGCCGACUAAUUUGGCUAAGGUAGGAAAUGUACAGCAGAAGAAGGAUGAAUCUCCAGUGGCCUUCCUAGAGUGGGUCAUGGAGGCGUUCCGUACCUAUACCCUCAUAGACCCAGAGGCUCCCGAGAACAAGGCGGCUGUUAUCAUGGCCUUUGUAAACCAAUCUGCUGCAGACAUUAGGAGAAAACUGCAGAAGAUAGAUAGACUAGGGGGAAAAGUCUGCAGGACUUGCUGGUAGUAGCCUAAAAGGUAUACAACAACUGGGAGCCCCCAGAAGAUAAACAGGCUUGCGCUGUGGCAGCUGCCAGCAGUAAGCAAACCCAAGACCUGGCCAGGAUUCUGCUGGCUACCACCACGGACUCUCCCGAGGAAUGGGACCGCUGCCUCCAACAGCUUGCAAGUGACCAGAAAAGAAAAGAGGUAAGGAGACCGCCAGGGAAGGGAGGCGGAGGCUGCAGAAGGAUCAGUGUGCUUACUGCAAGGAAAUAGGGCAUUGGGCCCGAGAAUGUCCAAAGAAGGCCGGUGGGAAGGGAAGCAAGACUGAUUGAGUGAAAGUCUUAGAGCUGGAUGAACUGAGUGAUUAGGGGAGUCGGGGUUUGGACCCCCUCCCCGAGCCCAGGGUAACUCUGAGAGUGGAGGGGACCCCGUUAACUUCUUUGUCGACACUGGAGCGCAACAUUCGGUCCUCCGUACACCUCAGGGGAAGCUAGCAAACAAUAAGUCCUGGGUACAAGGGGCAACUGGUAUGAGCCAGUAUUCAUGGACUACCCGAAGAACGGUAGAUCUAGGGACGGGCUGGGUAUCCCACUCCUUCAUGGUAAUACUGGAAUGCCCCUACCCACUGUUAGGACGGGACUUACUGGCCAAGAUUGGAGGUCAGAUAACUUUCAGACAAGGGGGGGGGGGGGGCUCAGGUCUCUGAUGGCAAAGGCCACCCCAUCCAGGUCCUGACUCUGAGACUGGAGGAUGAGUACCGCCUCCACCAGAAGGCGUCCCCAAUAGAGAACAACAUGGACAGAUAGCUACAAGAAUUCUCCACGGCUUUGGCAGAGACGGGGGCGGGGUAGGACUAGCCGCUCACAGGACCUCAAUCCUAGUAGAGCUAAAACCAGGAGAAGGCCCAGUAAGAAUCAAGCAGUACCCUAUGUCUCAGGAGGCCCGGAAGGGAAUCCAGCCUCACAUCCGGAGACUGCGAAGCCUAGGGGUACUAGUUCCCUGCCAAUCUGCCUGGAACACCCCCCUCCUGCCAGUCAGGAAGCCUCACACGAAUGAUUACCGACAAGUACAGGACCUUGGGAAGUAAAUAAAAGAGUUAUGGACAUACACCCAACUGUUCCCAACCCAUAUACUCUCUUGAGCUCCUUGGCACCCUCUAGAGUCUGGUAUACUGUAUUAGAUUUAAAGGAUGCCUUCUUCAGUCUGCCGCUGGCGCCCCGAAGCCAACCGUUAUUUGCCUUCAAAUGGCAUGACCCAGAGGAGGGCUACAGUGGACAAUUAACCUGGACAUGGUUGCCUCAGGGGUUCAAAAAUUCACCCACCAUCUUUGACGAGGCGCUACAUGAGGACCUGGGUGAGUACAGGAGGGAGCACCCCAGCCUCACCCUCCUCCAGUACGUAGAUGACAUCCUGAUUGCUGCUGACACGGCCGAGGACUGUGAGCGGGGGACCCAGGAUCUGCUGGCUACCUUGAGGGUCUUAGGGUACCGGGCAUCUGCGAAGAAGGCUCAGAUAUGCAGAGAGAGGCUCAGUUACCUGGGGUACAUCCUAGAUGGUGGACAGCGGCAGCUAUCAGAUGCCAGAAAAGAAACUGUCCUGAAGAUCCCUACUCCUACCUCCGGAAGGGAAAUAAGGGAAUUCCUAGGAUCGGCCGGCUACUGCCGCCUCUCGCCAGGCCCCUAUAUGAAGCUACCAAAGAGGGGAGGGCGUUUGAAUGGACUAAGAAAGAGGCUGCCUUUAAUCAGUUAAAGAAAGCCCUCCUAGAUGCUCCGGCCCUAGGACUGCCAGACGUUACAAAGCCCUUUCACCUCUUUGUAGACGAAAACACAAAGGAAUAGCGAAAGGGGUUUUGACUCAAGCCUUGGGCCCCUGGAGCCGCCCAGUAGCUUACUUGUCUAAGAAGCUAGAUCCAGUAGCUGCCGGCUGGCCGCCGUGCCUAAGAAUUAUUGCAGCAACAGCGCUCUUAGUCAAAGAUGCCGACAAACUGACCCUGGGGCAGGAAAUCUGGAUCACAACCCUGCAUGCCAUUGAGGGAGUCCUGAAACAGCCUCCUGAUAGAUGGAUGAGCAACGCAUGUAUGACCCAUUAUCAGAGCCUUCUGCUCAACCCCCCUAGAGUGCAGUUCCACCCCAGUGAGGCCCUUAACCCCGCUACUUUGCUGCCCAACCCUGACCUAGAUGCCCCACUACAUGACUGUGCGGGAAUCCUAGAGCAAGUACAUGGAUUCCGGAAGGACUUGACCGACCGGCCUCUCCCAGAUGCCGAGGCCACUUGGUUCACGGAUGGGAGCAGCUUUAUAUGGGACGGGCACAGGUACGCGGGUGCUGUGGCGGUCACUGAAACGAACAUCGUAUGGGCAGAAGCUCUACCCUCCGGAACGUCAGCCCAGCAAGCAGAGAUCGUCGCCCUCACUAAGGCGCUGACGCUGGGAGCUAGAAAACGGCUCAACAUCUACACAGAUAGCUGUUAUGCGUUUGCCACACCUCAUGUUCAUGGGGCAAUCUAUCAGGAGAGGGGAUUACUGACGGCAGAGGGACGGACUAUAAAGAAUAAGCAGGAGAUACUCAACCUGCUUACAGCCUUAUGGCUUCCUGCCAAGUUAGCCAUUAUCCACUGCCAAGGGCACCAGAAGACUGAUGACCCGAUAGCAAGAGGUAACCAAAAGGCUGACCAGGCAGCCAAGGCAGUGGCCCUUACUUCGGUCCCCACCAUGGCCCUACAACUACCGGACCCGGGGGACCCAGUUUUACCAGACCAGCCCUGAUACUCCCAGGAGGAGUUGCAGCGGAUCAGGAAACUCCCCCUGGCCCAGGAGAUAAAGGGAUGGUGGUAUACACCAGACAAGGAGCUCAUACUGCCAGACCGGCUUGGAGUCCCAGUGUUAGAACGCAUGCACCGGUCCACCCACCUUGGGGCCCGGAAAUUAAAGGACUUAAUCCAGCAUGCCGGAAUCAAAAUUCACCAGCAAAACUCCAAAAUAGAUCAAGUUGUAUCCGCCUGUAAGACCUGCCAACUCACAAACGCGAGGGCCGGGUCGAGUGAAAAAGGGACCAGGCUCAGAGGAACCAAGCCGGGAGCUCAAUAGGAGAUCGACUUUACCGAAGUCAAGCCAAGGAAGUAUGGUUAUAAAUAUUUUUUAGUAUUUAUAGACACCUUUUUUGGAUGGGUAGAGGCAUACCCAACCAGGCAUGAAACAGCUCAGAUGGUGCCAAGAAACUGCUAGAAGACAUCCUACCCAGGUAUGGAUUUCCUGCUAUGAUAGGAUCAGAUAACGGGCCAGCUUUUAUUUCACAGGUAACACAGGCAGUACCCAAGGCUAUAGGGGCAGAUUGGAAAUUGCAUUGUGCCUAUAGGCCCCAAAGUUCAGGGCAGGUAGAAAGGAUGAAUAGAACUCUAAAAGAGACCCUUACCAAAUUAACCAUGGAGACUGGCGGGGACUGGGUGGCUCUCCUUCCAUAUGCCCUCUACCGGGUACAGACCUCUCCUUAUACCCUGGGCUUUACCCCCUAUGAGAUCAUGUUUGGCAGGCCACCCCCUAUCAUUCCUAACCUUAAGGCUGAGCUUCUCGCUGAGUUUGAAAAUCAAGAAAUAUCUUUUCUCUUAAGAGGGCUCCAGCAGGCGCACGAGGACAUUUGGCUGUGUCUCCGUGCCAUCUACGAAGCUGGCCCGACCCCAACGCCUCAUCAGUACAGACCGGGAGACUGGGUUUUUGUCAAAAGGCACCGCUGGGAGACCCUCGAGCCGCGUUGGAAGGGUCCCUACUUCGUGGUGCUGACUACACCCACCGCUCUCAAGGUAGACGGCGUCGCAACCUGGGUCCAUCACACCCACGUCCGCCCAGCUGAUCCCUCUGCAGUCCAGGAGGACCUCAUCACACAAUGGAGCCUCAAUUACAAUCAGCACAACCCACUCAAGCUCAGGCUACCGUGUACUCGACCUGCCUGAUACUGGUAACCUUGCUCACGGCCACUCAUGCCGCCGGGAGUCCCCACGCCCCCCAUUACCUUACUUGGCAAAUCAUAGACACCAGUUCGGGGACUGUACUUAAUCAGACCUCCCAGUUGCACCCUAAAGACACUUGGUACCCGGACCUCUAUGUAGACCUGCUUUCCCUCAUUCAUGUCCAAUACGACCCCGGAUUCGCCCGGGGACUUCACUUCUAUGUCUGCCCCGGGCACUCUUGGACUCCACGAGGCCACACCCAGGACCCAUGCGGAGGAGCGGAGGACUAUUUCUGUGCCUCCUGGUCGUGUGUCUCAACGGGACAUAUAUGGUGGACUCCCCCGAAAACGGGUGACCUAAUUACCAUCAGGCGGCCGAAUAGCCCGCCAUGCGACCGAGAAGGUAAUCCUUGUAACACCGUGAGAAUAUCUUUCACGGAGCAAGGAAAGAAGGCGACAGGGUGGGACGCCGGUAAGACCUGGGGAAUACGUUUCUAUGAUAAGACUAGGGUCGGGUAUAUGGACCACGGGGGACUGUUCACUCUUCGGGUACGGGUGGCACCUCUCUCCCAACAGGCUCCAGCAGGAGUAGGGCCUAACCAAGUACUGGCCCCCCAACCUGCCUCUACCCGGGCGUCCCCGCCCAAGAGCACCCGGGCCCUGGCCUCACAGCCCUCUGCACCCCUUGGCCCUAACGGGGCAUCCUCCGCAUCCCCGACCCCAGUCCGCCCCUCAACGUCUGACACAGACCCCUAUGGAGCAUAGUUAUGGGAGCAUAUCAUGUGCUGAACGCUUCCUGACCUGACCUGACCGCGUCCUGUUGGCUCUGUCUAGAUGUCCGGCCACCAUAUUACGAAGGCAUUGCUAUUAGAGGCAAUUAUACAACGGCCUCUAAUUCCAGCUCCUGCAGGUGGCAGCAGGCCACUGCAGGACUAACCCUCCAGGCAGUAAUAGGGCAAGGUACUUGCAUAGGCCGAGUGUCCCCUGAACAAUCACAUCUUUGUAAUAACACUAACAGUCCCUAAUGGGACAGCUUACCUGCUCCCUGCCAAAAAUGCAUGGUGGGCCUGUUCCAGUGGCCUCGCUCCCUGCGUCCACUCCCAAAUCCUCCACUCCUCAAAAGAAGGCUUUUGCAUACUCGUCCAGCUAAUUUCCAAGCUAGUGUACCAUUUGGGGGAGGAAGUACUCAGCAGGAUAGGCUCUGCUAGCCCCCGAAGCAGGAGAGAACCUGUCAUAGCCCUGACCCUGGCUGCGCUCCUGGGGCUGGGACUAGCGGGAGCAGGAACCGGGAUAUCCUCGCUUGUUAUACAGGACAAGAACUAUGAAACCCUAAGAGCAGCCAUAGACCUAGAUAUAGAAAGAAUCCAGAAGUCCAUUACCCAUCUGCAAGAAUCUCUUACUUCCUUAUCUGAAGCAAUACUCCAGAACAGAAGAGGACUAGACUUACUGUUCAUGCAGCAAGGAGGCUUAUGUGCUGCCCUAGGGGAGGAGUGUUGUUUUUAUGUUGAUCAUUCGGGAGUUAUAAAGGACUCCAUGGCCCUCAUAAGAGAGGGAUUGCAGAAACGGAAGCUAGAGCGGGAGCAAUCCCAGUCUUGGUAUGAAUCAUUAUUUAAUUGGUCCCCAUGGUUAACCACUCUUAUUUCUGCCCUCGCUGGGCCCUUUAUAAUUUUACUCAUGCUAUUGACCUUCAACCCUUGCAUUAUCAACCAUCUAGUCCAAUUUGUCAAAGAGCGCAUAGGGGCGGUUCAGUUGAUGGUUCUGCGCGCUCAGUACCGGCCUCUAGUAGCAGAAGGCGAGGUAGAAAUGCAGUCCAUCCCAUAAUUGGGCCUAUAAAUUUCAAGACAAGGGGGGAAUGAAAGGGCAAAGCAGGACUAACUCCAUUUUGUGUUGUAUCCUCCAUCUUGUGUAACUAUGUCCCCAACAUGACCUUUUUCCGAGAAAAGCCACAGAAUGCACCAGUUGCUUAACCCUGCUUCCCCCACCCCCUUAAAUCGGCCAAUAGGAAUGCAAGAGGAACUAACCUAAGGCCAGAAAUAUGCUAGCCACAUCCUGUCUUUGUGUAACUGGACCCUGGCCGCAUCCUGCCUUUGUGUCACUAGACCCUAACCCCCACCCAACCAAUCAGAAUCGGCCAACUCAGUGGUCCGAGUAUCACCCCACCUCCUGACCCCAAGCCCUAUAAACUCUUUGUUCUCCUGAAGCUCGGGGCUCUCUUGCAUCCUGCUGCUGCGUCGGUAGAGGUGGAGAGACCGAGCUCAAGCUUGAAUAAAGGCUCUUUGCUUUUGCAUCAGACUCGGCUCCCUAGUGGUCUUUGGGGAUCUUGAAAUCUGGGCAUAACAAGGCCUAGUGGUAUGAAUUUCCCUCAGGACUGCUUUCGGGAUGUUUUUUAAUUUUUUGAUCUCUUUGGUAACCCAUUUAUUAAUUGCAUGCUAUUUAGCCUCCAUGUGUUUGAAUAUUUUUGAGUGUUUUUAUUAUAGUUGAUUUCUAGGUCAUUGUGAUCUGAGAACAUGCUUGAUAUGUCUUCUUGAACUUGUAGAGACUUAGUUUGUAUCCUAACAUGUGGUGUGUCUUUGAAAAUGUCCAUGUGCACUUGAGAAGAAUGUAUAUUCUGUAGCUUUGGGGUGAUUAUUCUGAAAAUGUCAAUUAAUGCCAUCUGAUCAAGUGUGUUGUUUAG